UUGUAAAAUUUGAGAUUAUUGUCUAUGAUGACACCGAAUAGUUUUGUAGAUGGGUCAGGGGAGAUUAUUGUGCCAUCAUUUGAUUUUAUGGUAAAGGUGAAAGCGGUAGACCUACGUGUUGGUGAAAAUAACAGCAUUUUAGUUUUUUUGGGA